GAGGAUGCAAUUAAUCUAAUAACUUGGCUUUGUUCGUGGGAUCCUUGCAAGAGGCCAACAGCGGUGGAAGUUCUUCAGCACCGUUUCUUUCAGAGUUGCUUUUAUGUACCUCCAUCAUUAUGCUCUAACACUGCUGUUGCUCCCUCUGUUGGAAUUAGGGCAAAACCCUUAGUAUAAAGCAAUUAACCUAAGCUCCUAUAUCAAUGAAAAAGAGGAAGAAUACAACAAGAAGAGAAGAAAAAGGAUAGGAACAUUUUUUUUUGUUUUUUGUAGUGAUAUUUGUUUUAGUUUAAAAUAGUUUAUGGGAAUCAUGGGAACUCUACAAAGGAAAAAAUAUGUAAUUGAUAAUUUUUUGUUACAGCUAUUAAAUUGAAUUUUUUUGACUAAUAUCAUCCUGAAGUAUAAUUCAAACUUAUUUAAUCAUCCCAAAAUUUACAAUAAACAUCAUUCUAUUAACUUAGGUUAAGAGGGUAAUAGCUGAAAUAAAUACAUCCGUCAAGCACGACUUCCCCCAAAUUUCAUAUACUGUUUUAAUGAUUGCAAUAAUUUUCGUGAACUCAGAUUCAACAUGUGAUUUUUGGAAGUAGUCGAUUGAACACAACUUCUUGCAACUGAUGUGAAGCUGCUAAUAUACCUUAGAAGGUAAUGAAACUUGGAAAUUCAUACACAACAUACCUGCAAUUUUCUUUCAGACAUUUUAUCAAAUAGCUAAGGGGCAUUUUAACAAAUCCAUAGCGUAUCCUGAUCAUGGUUAUUUCUACUUGUCCUUCGCAAAUACAAAAGUUUUUUCAAGACGGCAAAGACAAUGAGAGAAUAAAACUAACAUUCUAAAUCGUCAACUAUAGUAAUGAAUUAAGUACUGUUGGGACAAGAAAGAAGAGAGAUUAUGGAGUUAAUUUUACCUUGUUCUCUGAGGCUCAUCUGUACUUAUACCUUGUAGGAUUUGAGAAAUGCCUGAGCC
rnacentral:lncRNA from 1 species